UACGGGGGGGGCAAGCGGUUGUUCGGAAUUACUGGGCGUAAAGGGCUCGUAGGCGGCCAACUAAGUCAGACGUGAAAUCCCCCGGCUUAACCAGGGAACUGCGUCUGAUACUGGAUGGCUUGAGUUUGGGAGAGGGAUGCGGAAUUCCAGGUGUAGCGGUGAAAUGCGUAGAUAUCUGGAGGAACACCGGUGGCGAAGGCG
rnacentral:rRNA from 1 species